rnacentral:rRNA from 1 species
AUUGAACGCUGGCGGCAGGCCUAACACAUGCAAGUCGAGCGGAUGAAGGGAGCUUGCUCCUGGAUUCAGCGGCGGACGGGUGAGUAAUGCCUAGGAAUCUGCCUGGUAGUGGGGGAUAACGUCCGGAAACGAGCGCUAAUACCGCAUACGUCCUGAGGGAGAAAGUGGGGGAUCUUCGGACCUCACGCUAUCAGAUGAGCCUAGGUCGGAUUAGCUAGUUGGUGGGGUAAAGGCCUACCAAGGCGACGAUCCGUAACUGGUCUGAGAGGAUGAUCAGUCACACUGGAACUGAGACACGGUCCAGACUCCUACGGUAGGCAGCAGUGGGGAAUAUUGGACAAUGGGCGAAAGCCUGAUCCAGCCAUGCCGCGUGUGUGAAGAAGGUCUUCGGAUUGUAAAGCACUUUAAGUUGGGAGGAAGGGCAGUAAGUUAAUACCUUGCUGUUUUGACGUUACCAACAGAAUAAGCACCGGCUAACUUCGUG